UGCAAGUCGAGCGGAACGAGUUAUCUGAACCUUCGGGGAACGAUAACGGCGUCGAGCGGCGGACGGGUGAGUAAUGCCUAGGAAAUUGCCCUGAUGUGGGGGAUAACCAUUGGAAACGAUGGCUAAUACCGCAUAAUGCCUACGGGCCAAAGAGGGGGACCUUCGGGCCUCUCGCGUCAGGAUAUGCCUAGGUGGGAUUAGCUAGUUGGUGAGGUAAUGGCUCACCAAGGCGACGAUCCCUAGCUGGUCUGAGAGGAUGAUCAGCCACACUGGAACUGAGACACGGUCCAGACUCCUACGGGAGGCAGCAGUGGGGAAUAUUGCACAAUGGGCGCAAGCCUGAUGCAGCCAUGCCGCGUGUGUGAAGAAGGCCUUCGGGUUGUAAAGCACUUUCAGUCGUGAGGAAGGUAGUGUAGUUAAUAGCUGCAUUAUUUGACGUUAGCGACAGAAGAAGCACCGGCUAACUCCGUGCCAGCAGCCGCGGUAAUACGGAGGGUGCGAGCGUUAAUCGGAAUUACUGGGCGUAAAGCGCAUGCAGGUGGUUUGUUAAGUCAGAUGUGAAAGCCCGGGGCUCAACCUCGGAAUUGCAUUUGAAACUGGCAGACUAGAGUACUGUAGAGGGGGGUAGAAUUUCAGGUGUAGCGGUGAAAUGCGUAGAGAUCUGAAGGAAUACCGGUGGCG
rnacentral:rRNA from 1 species